rnacentral:lncRNA from 1 species
AUGAAUAGUUGCUCUGCCUAAUUUGCACAUUUUAAGUUCUCUCUCAAGUUUAGACAUAACUGUUAUAAUUUAAAGCUUGCUCUAGACCUAAACUUGAGGGAUGAAAACUUGAUCUGAAAUCUAAGUUGUUAACGGAUACGAUAUGGGAAGGUUGAGUUGCUAUUUAUCUGUUUCUAGAGAUGCUAGAAUUCUGGAGAAUUUUAUCUUUGGAAAUCUUUAAAAUGUUGCAUGAUGAGUUCCUGUAUGAUGAGAGUUUAAAUUCCUACCACAGCCAUAUAUACAUGCUUGCUAGACUUCGUGCCACACAUUUACUUUUUACUGCUUAUGAGCAUUGAGUGUGGUCAAGCUGUGUAGACCCUUAGGAGCUUGUCAUGUGGUUAAAUCAAGAUUCACUUGCACGUUCACUCACACAUGCUACUUCUACUCCGGAAGUACCAUCCACAUAUAUCCAUACAUUUCCAUCUUCAGAAUCACCCAAAAAUAUUCUACUCCUAAUCCGGGAGAGAAUAGCCAAAAAUAAUUUUGUUCUUCCUUGUGUAAUAAAUGCCUCAAGAUCAAUAAAGAGUAUUAUUAUUAUGUCUUGUGUGUCUCUACUUUAUUUUUGUGCAAGAAAGGAGAAAACAAGUAUGGGGGAGAUCCCUCGACAUGCUAAACACACUCCGACUACACCACACCACGAUUCAGGUACACACUCUGCACACUUUACUCUACACAUAUAUAUAUUUUAGAUUAUGCAGAAUAUUGUUCCGACAUGAUAAAAUAAAAAGAUUAAAAUAUUUCUAAUCAUGAUUAAUCUCAAUCUGUGAUAUUUCCUGAAAACUUGCAAUUAGUAUAAAAUCAUUUUUUAAAAAUCCUGUGUUACUUAAGUCAAGAUGGAAUAUGUGAUGGUAGAGUAUGAGUUUCUUAUUCUUGAUAUCAUUGUUGCUUGGAGAAUUUAUUUCAAAAUGUUCAAAUUCCUAGCUACCAUCCUCAGUGUUUUAUAUGCCUGAUAAAACUGAAAUAUUAAAUAUGAUUAUAAAAGCUAUCUGCUCUGUAUUGAGUUUGUUCAAAAUGAGUUAGACCCUUGUUGAGAGAUUUAUCAUGCUCCUAAGAUCAAGACAUUAUUUCAGUAAGAUUCACUCUUCCGAAGUAUUAUUGCAUUAGAGGCAUGGGCUAUGCAAAAAUAGAAGAUAUUUCGAGGAAAUAAAAAGGAGCAAGUGCUCGACAACCUCGCAGAAAAAAUGGACAAGUGUCCGGAAGUAGAAUUAGGGGUACCUCGGUAUCCACUAAAAAAAAGAAAAAAAAAUGACAGCCCAUGGUCCCUCUAAUAAGCAAUAUGCCAGCAAGAGUUGACAAUGUUUUUAAUUUCCAAAGUCUUUGAUCUAAGAGUAUGACAUUUCCCUCCUCGGAUCCCGUUUUGAUCAGGCAAUAAAUGCAAAGUAAGUAUGCUUGAGAAUUCUUGCAAAAUUAAAACAACCUCAGUGAGAUAUAUAUAAAAGAUAAUGAGUGAUCCGAGAGAACCUAUGAGGAUCAAAAGGUAUGCUAACUUUCUUUCAAAAAUAUACAAAAACUCCAAGUGACAGGAUUGAGAAGAAAGGAUCUUUACUCUUAAUCAUAUACAUCCCUGACUAUGGUACACAGUGGAAUUUUAACACCCUGCAAUUAUAAAGAGAAUGUUUUAAAUGUUUACCCCAGAUAUUUUUCUUAACCAUCCUUUUCUCGAGGACGAGUAAAAGCCUAAGUAUGGGGGUAUUUGUUGACGGUUCUUAAGUAUCAAUUUUAAUUAUCAAAUAAACAAGAGAAAGGACCAAUAUGCAACCAUCACCUAGAAUUAGGGUUUGAUCUGACAGAAUUCCACGAGUUUUGUUGUUUAUCUAUUUCUGCAGGGGGUUAUCAGGAAAUAAGGAAGAAAGGCCCACAUGUCGGGAUUACAUAGAGAUAUCAACGCACCGCGUAAUUUUACAUCAUCUAGAAGACUCCAGAAGCCACGAGACCGAAGCGGAGGCGAAGCUGGGCCAGGCCCAGGGCGCCCGCCCUGGUAGCCUGGGCGCCCGCCCCCCUACUGGAGUCAAUUCAGGACUCCUUCGCUCGGGAUAUUCCACCGACCUAUUGGAUCAAGAAAAACAUAGUACCACCUCGGCUAUCGACCCAAAAACGCAUAGAAGGGGAGGACUAUAUAAGCGAGGCUCCACUGGCCCCUAGAAGACAUGAAGAAAUUAUCAUAGAGACUGAGGGGUGCCCUCGAAGGAAAACCUCUUCUCUAAUUAAUAUUUCUUUUUAGGCUUAGCAAUCAAUGUAAGGUAGAAAUAGAUCUUCUAGUUUCUACUAGAUUGAGAGAGAUAGAGUGGAGGUGUAGAGUGGAGGAAGCCCGGCCUGUCGGUGUCUACUCCAAGCUUGUACCUGCGGGAUCAAGUUCUCCUAACCCGAAGCUUGCUCCUAGGAUUCUUCAGUAAUUCGACUUCUAAAUUCUAGUAAGUUCUUGUUUUAUUGUUCUUAUGGUUUAUGAGUUUACUUUAAUCU